AUGUUGAUUCCAUACCUGUUCCUAAGCGGUGUUCUCAUACUCCGAUGUGAAUACCAAUCCUUCUUGAUCAUUGAGUUUGUCAUCUCAAUGUCUUUUCAACCGGUGUGUUUCUCUUCAAGUGGAUCCGAUCAUUUCAACAUCCGCAAGAUCAACUCAAGUCUUUUUAACGGUGUUGUUCCAUCCGUCCCAAAUUGCCUUUGUUUUCCCACCCUCCCACCCUUUUCCUUCGAGGACUCGGAUUUCUUUAUCAAGUAUCUACCUUAUGGAUAUGAAGUCUCUCCAUUCUUUUCUGUCAUUGUUCUUACCCGGUGUUUCUCUUGA
rnacentral:rRNA from 1 species